rnacentral:lncRNA from 1 species
UUUUUAUUUUUAUUUUAGAGCAGCCUCCAAGUAGUCAAGAUUUCCUACUGCGAAAACCUUCCAUUCUAACUUGCCAGAAUGUGCAAGAUGAAGACACCGAUGCCCAGAACACCAAAAGGCUUAUGACAUCUCCACCGACGGCCCUGGUUUUGCUCAUCAGAAUGCACGGGGAGAGAUGGUCUUCCUUCUCUCCACUACCAGGGGCAUCGGUUAAAAGCAAAAAUAAUCCCCAGAAAAACUGCCCUUACUCUGAAGCAGGGGCCAGCAAAUGGUCUCUGUAAAGGGCCAGAUCCUAAAUAUUUUUUUCCCUUGAGGGGCUUUCGGUCUCUGUGAUUCGACUCUGCCAUUUGCAAGCAAUUCUUAAACAAAAUAUUUACAUGAAAGGGCAUGGUCAGACUUGGCUGUAGUUUGCCAGCCUCCUUCAUGAAUCAGAGAGUUCUAUGCUUGAAAAUUGGUGCAGAAAAUAAGGGAAGGCAAACUUUACACAGCUGGUAUCAUGUGCCUCCUAAAUGUGUUGUGUCACUGUGGGUCCCCAGGAAGGUUUUGGGCACAGCCACAUGUUGGCCUUGGGCAGAAAGGGCUACUGGAGUGGGAGUCAGAGGUACCUUGUACCCUGCAGAGCCUCACUCUCCAGACUAGCACAACAGCAAAUCAUAGCCUCCCAAAUUCUCCAACUGGAAGCAUAGGAGCCCUGCCAGCCUGGGACCCCUGGCUCCGGGGUGGAGCUGCCAGUAGCAGUGAGCAGUGUGUGCAUGCACUGUGGCUGCUUAGCUUGGGUCUAGUACAGGGGAAAGAGGGCUAAGUGGCAUUCAGUCAACACCUUUCAUGUCUCUUGCUUGUGUUACCAGAUGUGUAUCGUCAUCCUUUCUUAAAGAGAAACAAUAUGAGCUUCUUCCUGCCAGCUCAAGCUGUAUCAGACAGCAGUUUUCAGAGUAUGAUCUUGACCUGACUGUAAGCAGGCAGCUGUCCUCUUUCGUGUCUCUCCUUCAAACUAUCUGACCCUGGCUCUGCCCCAGUGACCUGUACACUCCUGACCACUUGUAUGCAGGAAGCCUAUCAUCUGUCCACCUGGCCCCCCCAGGGACCCAUGCUGCCUCUCUUGUUCCUACGUGGGGUGGGGGAGCACCCCCAUUUGUUUCCUCUCUCCUGAGGCUCACAUUCCCAUUCAGUUCAGAAAAGCCACAAAAUAGCAAGUAUGUGGGCCAGCUUGAUAUGUAUCCUUUCAAAGAAUGUCCUGGAAGCCUCCAUGUUUCAAAACAUUUUCAGCAAGUUUUCCUUGAACCUUUUAAAUUAUUGCCCCAGGGAAGCCCCUAAACCUGAGGCUAGGGUUAUAAGAAGCUAGACAGAGGCUUCUCUCAAUGUGUUUCCUUCUCCAAAUAGGCCAAAGGAACAGAACUUGGGCAGGUACUAUAUAAACCGUGCCCAGGGAGGCAAUAAAAAGAGUGAACCUCUAUAGUAUUAGUGGAGAGAUGAAAGAGGUCGGAAAUUACCCUGUAUGUUCAGUUCUUUGAAAGCUCAUUAUUUACUUUUGAAGCACUGUUUGUGCAAAACCCAAGGACAGGAACGUACUGACCCAUCCUUCCUCUGGCUGGCUGCCUUCCUGAUGAUGGUAGAUAGAAACGCCUGUAGCCAGGGUACUGGUAAACCUCCCAGGGGAAGCACAAGUUGGAAAAUACAGAAAAUGAGCUUCUUCAAACCCUGGAAUUCACCAGCAUCAUGAAUAUGUAAGAUGCACUCAUUCAUUAAUAGGCUCCAAGACAUUGCAGAUGCUGGGCGUGGGGGGCGUGGGCGAGCACCACUGACGCAAAAGUUAGUGUGUGCGGGACACUUUGCCAAACUCUGAGGGCCUGUCUGGUUUAUGGGACGCAUGUUGGGGCCUCCAUUAGGGCUGGGCAGAGGCCAGGGAGAGCUCUGGGGCCUGGGGUUGGGGAGAACAGGACAAAACUGAACGGAUGCCUCUGAGUUCAGGAUGCAGAGCCGUGUGUUUGAGAAAUGAGAGGGUGUGUGUGUGGUGAGUCCUCUCCAGUUGAGGUCCUGGGGUCUCCAGAAGAGCAGGGUGUCGUCGGCAAAGAGGGGCCAGGAAUGAUGACCUGCCUACAAAAUGUAACAGGUGCUCACAGGCCAAGGAUCUCAAGGUUUCAGGUAGUGGGGCUAAAGGCAAUGCAGUUCACUAUAGCGCUGAGUUAGAAAUAACACAAGACUUUCCUGAGGUCCUUCAAAUGGUGCCCGUGUCAGGCCUCUUCUGAAGAUCUGCCUUUUAUGCUUUCUCCUAUUCCAUUCUCUUGGUUUUCAAGGCAACAUAGAUUUAUAGGUGAACUUUUUUUUUUUAGAAGUAUAGCAUUUAUACAAGCAGAUAUUCAUAUUCUCUUAGCAUCAUAUCAUCAAGAAGCUAAAAGAAAUUAGAGAUUUCUGGAUGGGUGUGAUGGGGGUUCAGAAUAUGCCCUUAAGAGCUGUCACAGAUCUGAUACCCAAGAAACAUUUGGGAGACAAAGAGAGGUGGAGUCCAUAGCUCAGGCUGUGUGGUCUUCCUACUGGAGGUCCUAUGGCUUUUCCUCUUUCUACUCCCCAAGUUGUGGCAGGAGAGCCUCUUCCAUAUUGUGCCAAUCCUCAUUUAAUUGGAUCUGAUGAACCACGGUGGAAUGACACAGAAGUGGAGUUGUCUGAGGCCCCAGAUAUGCUUUGUUCUCUCCCAUUGUGCUGCAGUUUUGUUGUUCCUGACAUGGAUUCCAGAGUGCUCUUCUGCUGGCCUUUCCGAUUCCCCCUCCCCCAUGAGAUGCCUUAUUAGAUGGGUCUGAGGAAGUGAGGGGCAAGUGGGUUUCUCCCGGGAAUAUUGAUAUCUUCAGGGUUGAUGGACUAACCUCUUCCAUGGAGUUAGUCACAGGCAAGUUCACAAUUACACUCGACAUUAUGAAUACCUGUAGAGGUGAGUUGCUCAAAAACAGCCACUCUUCCGGGCUCUGGGGUGUUGAAGGAAAGAGAUGAUGGAAAAAACAAUGGAUUACCGCAAGGUAGCAAAGAUACUCUGC